CACAGGGAGAAGCAGGCUCCAUGCAGGGAGCCCCACGCGGGACUCGAUCCUGGGACUCCAGGAUCACACCCCGGGCUGCAGGCGGCGCUAAACCGCUGAGUCACCGGGGCUGCCCGAAAGUUUUUGUACGUUGUGGUUAUUUGUGUAUGCACAUCUGUUAACUUUCUAGCUGAUUAGAAACCCUUAAAUUAACCCUUUCGAGCACACUGCAGGAGCGCCGUGGCACUUGAGCAUCGUCUAUCGGUGUGAUCAGCCUCGUCUUCCAGGAGGGGCACCACCGCGGGUGCCCUGCUGAGGGCUUUGCUUCCUGCACGCGGCUGCUGCGUCCUGAAUCUUACCGGGUUCGGAGACGUUGCAGAGCUGUGUUCAGGAGCGUGUUACACACCCCAGAUGAUAGGGCCACCACCAAGUAGGCCGGUUCCUGCGGAGACCCUUUCCAAAGAGCCUGAACGGAUGGGAGUGGAUACUGCAGUUUUCUGCUCUUUUAUGCCUGUCUUAAAGUUUUCUGAAGUACUGACUUCUUCAGCUCAUUGGCAUUUAACUUUAAUCAAGCUGUGCUUUAGCUGCUUUUUGGUGCUGAAGGCCAACUCAUAAUAACACAGCUACAGCUCUUCUGAUACCCACUCCAUGAGUAAACUUCAGGUCUUUUACAAGCCUAGAUUUCCAAGCCCCUUGCCACCCCCAUGUGUCCGUGCCAUUCUUCGUCUCUGUACCAGUUCCAAGAGGAGGACAUCUAGUAAUAACUGGAGAGGUAAACAGAGGUCUC